AUUGAACGCUGGCGGCAGGCCUAACACAUGCAAGUCGAACGAGUGGCGGACGGGUGAGUAAUGUAUGGGGAACUGCCCGAUAGAGGGGGAUAACUACUGGAAACGGUGGCUAAUACCGCAUACCAUCGGAUGUACCCAGAUGGGAUUAGCUCGUAGGUGGGGUAACGGCUCACCUAGGCGACGAUCCCUAGCUGGUCUGAGAGGAUGACCAGCCACACUGGAACUGAGACACGGCCCAGACUCCUACGGGAGGCAGCAGUGGGGAAUAUUGCACAAUGGGCGCAAGCCUGAUGCAGCCAUGCCGCGUGUAUGAAGAAGGCCUUCGGGUUGUAAAGUACUUUCAGCGGGGAGGCGUUACCCGCAGAAGAAGCACCGGCUAACUCCGUGCCAGCAGCCGCGGUAAUAC
rnacentral:rRNA from 1 species